GUAGUAUUCCCUCCGUCCCAAAAUUCCUGUCUUACAUUUGUUUAGAUAUGGAUGUAUCUAACACUAAAAUGUAACUAGAUACAUUCGUAUUUAGACAAAUUUAAGACAAGAAUUUUGGGACGGAGGGAGUACAAA
rnacentral:pre_miRNA from 1 species